rnacentral:rRNA from 1 species
UACAGAGGUGGCAAGCGUUGUUCGGAAUUACUGGGCGUAAAGGGCGCGUAGGCGGCUUCUCAAGUCAGGGGUGAAAGCCCAGAGCUCAACUCUGGAAUUGCCUUUGAGACUGAGUGGCUUGAGUACGGGAGAGGUGAGUGGAAUUCCCAGUGUAGAGGUGAAAUUCGUAGAUAUUGGGAAGAACACCGGUGGCGAAGGCGGCUCACUGGCCCGUAACUGACGCUCAUGCACGACAGCGUGGGGAUCAAACAGG